CCCAGACUCCUACGGGAGGCAGCAGUGGGGGAUAUUGGACAAUGGGGGGAACCCUGAUCCAGCGAUGCCGCGUGAGGGAAGAAGGUUUUCGGAUUGUAAACCUCUGUGGACAGGGACGAUAAUGACGGUACCUGUCAAGAAAGCCACGGCUAACUACGUGCCAGCAGCCGCGGUAAUACGUAGGGGGCAAGCGUUAUCCGGAUUUACUGGGUGUAAAGGGAGCGUAGGCGGCAGUGCAAGUCAGAAGUGAAAGCCCAAGGCUCAACCAUGGGACUGCUUUUGAAACUGUACAGCUAGAUUGCAGGAGAGGUAAGUGGAAUUCCUAGUGUAGCGGUGAAAUGCGUAGAUAUUAGGAGGAACACCAGUGGCGAAGGCGGCUUACUGGACUGUAAAUGACGCUGAGGCUCGAAAGCGUGGGGAGCAAACAGGAUUAGAUACCCUCGUAAAG
rnacentral:rRNA from 1 species